rnacentral:rRNA from 1 species
ACACGGAGGGUGCAAGCGUUAAUCGGAAUUACUGGGCGUAAAGCGUACGUAGGCGGUCCGUUAAGUUAGAUGUGAAAGCCCCGGGCUUAACCUGGGAACUGCAUUUAAAACUGGCGGACUAGAGUUGAGUAGAGGGGAGUGGAAUUUCAGGUGUAGCGGUGAAAUGCGUAGAGAUCUGAAGGAACACCAGUGGCGAAGGCGACUCCCUGGACUCGAACUGACGCUGAGGCACGAAAGCGUGGGUAGCAAACGGGAUUAGAAACCCCAGUAGUCC